rnacentral:rRNA from 1 species
GACGAACGCUGGCGGCGUGCUUAACACAUGCAAGUCGAACGGUAAGGCCCUUCGGGGUACACGAGUGGCGAACGGGUGAGUAACACGUGGGUGAUCUGCCCUGCACUUCGGGAUAAGCCUGGGAAACUGGGUCUAAUACCGGAUAGGACCACUGCCUGCAUGGGUGGGGGUGGAAAGCUUUUGCGGGGUGGGAUGGGCCCGCGGCCUAUCAGCUUGUUGGUGGGGUGAUGGCCUACCAAGGCGACGACGGGUAGCCGGCCUGAGAGGGUGACCGGCCACACUGGGACUGAGAUACGGCCCAGACGCCUACGGGAGGCAGCAGUGGGGAAUAUUGCACAAUGGGCGCAAGCCUGAUGCAGCGACGCCGCGUGAGGGAUGACGGCCUUCGGGUUGUAAACCUCUUUCAGCACCGACGAAGCGCAAGUGACGGUAGGUGCAGAAGAAGGACCGGCCAACUCCCUGCCAGCCGCCGCCGUAA